CAAUAGCGUAUAUUAAAGUUGUUGCAGUUAAAAAGCUCGUAGUUGGAUUUCUGGUUGAAGCGACCGGUCGGGCGUUGAUUCGUCUGCACUGGAGUCGGUUUUGGCCAUCCUCUAGGAAAGUGCGUCUGGUAUUAAGUUAUCGGGCGUAUGAUCCUGGUCUUUUACUGUGAAAAAAUUAGAGUGUUUAAAGCAGGCCUUCGCCUUGAAUACAUUAGCAUGGAAUAAUAAGAUAGGACUUUGGGCUAUUUUGUUGGUUUGCAGACCGAAGUAAUGAUUAAUAGGGAUAGUUGGGGGUAUUUAUAUUCCGAUGUCAGAGGUGAAAUUCUUAGAUUUUCGGAAGAUAAACUUAUGCGAAAGCAUUUACCAAGGAUGUUUUCAUUAA
rnacentral:rRNA from 1 species